UCAAGGUCACCGAGUGUGAUGGGCUAAUCGCUGUCUUCUGAGCCUGAUCAUCCAAGCAGCUUUUUACCCAUCUUUCUGCCUACCAACCCAGUUCAUAACAUCCUAAUAUGGAUGCAAGAAUAUUGUGGGAGACAGUUAAGCAUAUUUCUAAAGAUGAAGUCACCUUCAACUACUUCAUGUACCUAGAAACAUGCCUGAAAAGGACUUGCUCUGUGAUUUUUCCAGCAAAGUGAGGCUUGGAGUUCCCUCAGUUUACUUCCUGGCUUUUUCUGAAGAUGGAGACAAUAUUUUCCCUUCUCCAGCCAUGAAGGACUACCUGAUAUGCACGAUCUUUCUAAGAUAAUAGAGAGUAACCUUGCAAGGAUAUUGGCUAGCUCCUUCCACACUCUUGGAUGCUGCCUGCUGGAUCCCAUGGACUAGCAUGGGUUGAAUUAUCUGAAGUAAACCCUAGCUGAGUCCUCACGGGUUGCUGGUUGAUCUCCAUGACCCCUUUCACUAAUCACAGGGGUGUGGGAGACCGUGGUGAAGACUGAGGCAAAGUAGACAUUAGAUACCUUGGUCUUAUCUGUGUCUGCUGUUGCUAAAUCACCUGCCUCAUUCAGCAGCAGGCCCAUAUAUUCCUUGCUCAGCUUUAUAGGUUUUUUUCUACUUUUAGUCUCCAAUGAGACAUUCCCUUUCUGUGAAGCCACUGUAAAUCGAUGCACUUCUUAUACUGGAAAACAAAUAAAUGUGAACACCUUUAACU